rnacentral:rRNA from 2 species
GGACUACUGGGGUAUCUAAUCCCGUUUGCUCCCCUGGCCUUCGUGCCUCAGCGUCAGAUGCUGCCCAGAGACUCGCUUUCGCCACUGGCGUUCCUUACGAUAUCUACGCAUUUCACUGCUACACCGUAAAUUCCAGUCUCCUCUACAGCUCUCUAGCAAGGCAGUAUUGAAUGCAAUUCUGAGGUUAAGCCCCAGGAUUUCACAUCCAACUUACCCUGCCGCCUACGCACCCUUUACGCCCAAUGAAUCCGAACAACGCUUGGGACCUCUGUAUUACCGCGGCUGCUGGCAC